AGUGAACGCUGGCGGUAGGCCUAACACAUGCAAGUCGAACGGCAGCACAGUAAGAGCUUGCUCUUACGGGUGGCGAGUGGCGGACGGGUGAGGAAUACAUCGGAAUCUACUCUUUCGUGGGGGAUAACGUAGGGAAACUUACGCUAAUACCGCAUACGACCCACGGGUGAAAGCAGGGGAUCUUCGGACCUUGCGCGAUUGAAUGAGCCGAUGUCGGAUUAGCUAGUUGGCGGGGUAAAGGCCCACCAAGGCGACGAUCCGUAGCUGGUCUGAGAGGAUGAUCAGCCACACUGGAACUGAGACACGGUCCAGACUCCUACAGGAGGCAGCAGUGGGGAAUAUUGGACAAUGGGCGCAAGCCUGAUCCAGCCAUACCGCGUGGGUGAAGAAGGCCUUCGGGUUGUAAAGCCCUUUUGUUGGGAAAGAAAAGCAGCAGGUUAAUACCCCGCUGUUCUGACGGUACCCAAAGAAUAAGCACCGGCUAACUUCGUG
rnacentral:rRNA from 1 species